UUACGGUCACAUCAUGUUGAAACACCGGUUUCUGUACGAUCUUCGAAGUUAAGCAACGUCGAACCUGGUCAGUACCUAGAUGGUUGAUUACUUGGAAAUACCAGCUGCUGUAAG